UGGUUCUGGCAUCGAUGAAGAACGCAGCGAAAUGCGAUAAGUAGUGUGAAUUGCAGACUUUAGUGAAUCAUCGAAUCUUUGAACGCACAUUGCGCCCCUUGGUAUUCCAUUGGGCAUGCCUGUUCGAGCGUCAUUUACCUCUUCAAGCGCUGCUUGGUGUUGGGCGUCUGUCUUAUACUUGUUUACGAGUAAAGACUCGCCUCAAAUUCAUUGGCAGCAAUCUCACCAGCUUCUUGCGCAGCACCUUGCGGUUAAGAAGACUUUCUGGCAGGAAUUGCAUCCAUAAGAAAACCCAUCAUUUUGACCUCGAAUCAGGUAGGGAUACCCGCUGA
rnacentral:misc_RNA from 1 species